rnacentral:rRNA from 1 species
UACGGGGGGGGCAAGCGUUGUUCGGAAUUACCGGGCGUAAAGGGCCCGUAGGUGGCCAACUAAGUCAGACGUGAAAUCCCUCGGCUUAACCGGGGAACUGCGUCCGAUACUGGUUGGCUUGAGUUUGGGAGAGGGAUGCGGAAUUCCAGGUGUAGCGGUGAAAUGCGUAGAUAUCUGGAGGAACACCGGUGGCGAAGGCGGCAUCCUGGACCAAUACUGACGCUGAGGCACGAAAGCCAGGGGAGCAAACGGG